UCCCCAAUACAGUCAUGAAAACAUAUUGCAGCAAGUGUGGAAUUAUCACAAUGAUUAUUGUGCUGUGUACAGUACACUUCACCCAAAUCCUGAACACUAUUGCAUAUAAUCGAUUAUAUAUUAUAGAGCAGUUAUGUUACAAUCAAGGUUUUUAAGUUUGUUUUCCUGCAGCUUCGCGGCACCCAUCGUUCUUGCGCACCCCCACACAGAUGGACGAGUUAAGUUAGAAGUGGAUGGGAGUAGCGGCAGGACAGAUAUUCCGAGGGCGCCCAUUGAACGAUGGCAACAGUGUGGAACAACUAAAAUAACCAAUCAGCACAGGACAACAAGAAGCAGACGGCGUAACAAGGAUCGAAAGCCUGGGGGCUGAAGCUAAUUCAGUGGUAAAGACAUGAGCUCGUCUCUUGGAGGUCGACGUGAGGAGGUCUGCACUGGAAAAGACCACACUGACAGGUGUCCACAGUGUAACAGGCAGGCAGGUACACAGACAGACUGACUGGCAAGCAGAUAGAUAGACAGACAGAUGAAGAGGCAGGCAGGCAAGCAGGUAGAGAAAUAGAGAGACAGGAAGGCAGAUAGACAGGCAGGCAGACAGACAGGCAGGUAGAUAGACAUGUCUAGGAGGGCAGAAUGAGGCUGUGCGACCCUGAUAAAUACUCCUGCUUCCUGUGAGGUUUUAUGUAUUUCCUCUCCAGGACCAAACAGCUGUCUCCCUUCCUCCAUCUCUGAGCUACAGGAUGGUAUGUGUCACCUAACCUCUGCACACUGCACGCAGUGAUUUGCAGUGAUUUGCAUAUGCCAUAGGAUGCUUGGCCCUUUGCCUCCUUCCUGAUCCAAACUUCUAGGGUCUCCAUGGGUAACCAGCAUCCUGAUGCCAUGAAGAGGGUGUUGAGGAAGAGGAGAAGCUUCAUGGUGUAGUAAUACCAGCCACAUUUAAAUCAACAUGUAGGAAAAAAAAUCACCUGAGCUGCAAAACACAUAGCAAUCCAGUGGGGGCGCUGUUUGGCUCAUUGAGUUUGGAUGCUAUGUCUAUGAUGGGAAGGUCACCUGUUCAAUGUCACUACUGGGCCCCUCCGUAAGGCCCUUAACCCACCGUUACUCCAGGCACUGUUUGGCCCUGCUUUCUCAAAAAUGUCGCUUUUUAUGAAAUUGUCUGUUAAAUCUAACAUUCAUUUAAUUGAUAGAAAUGUGCAUCACUGGUGAAAGGUAAGCAAGUACUUAACAGUGAUAAAUUCAGUGUCUUACUUUUAACAGGGUUCUAAAUACAUAUAUAAAGCAAGCUGUGAUUGGAAAGCAGUUCAUACCCAAAAUGGUACAAUGGCCAAAAAAAUCCAUCCGUCUGUGUCUGCACUCGUUCUGCCGUCUCAUUCGAAACCAAAGCGGGUCGUACCUCCCACUUCACCUGGUGUCAGUCAGAAUGGCACAGGUGUAAUAUUCACUGUCGAGGUGUCACUUUUCAUUCAUGUUGUAAUUAUGGAGACCCCAGCUGCCUUACUGUGAGGUCAAAGCGAAACGUGGCUUUCAUGGGUUUUUCAAAUGUUGCCACACGAAUGCAGCAGUGCUAUUACCUGUCAAAGUUUACAGGUUUUCAGUGACUGACAUUUCAGUCACAUUUAACUGAUUUUACUGGGUCACAUGAUCGGGGGCGGGGCCUCAGGAUUGCAUUUCUCUCCACAGUGGGAUUUCAGUCACUACAGUCAUUGAUAAAACAAACACCCAGCAAAGUAUUUUUAUUCUGUUCUUCAGCUGUAUGAUCCACUGAGGUGAAAUAUCGUUCUCGUUGGUUAUAGAGCAAAUGAAAUGAUAAAUAGAAUAUAAAUAGAGACAUAUAAACGUGAUAUUUUAAGACAUAGAUAAAUAAAAUGCAGUUGAGCCACCUGAGUUACUAGUCCUUAAAACAGACCCAGUCUUAGACUUGAACUCUCAACAAAGACACUGUGCUUUCUGUGAACUUUCCGAGGGAACCCUGGGCUUUGAGUUAAAGCCAGCGGUUCAUUUUCAAAUAAUGCCAGAUAAAAAUAAAUUCCCCCAUGCCCACUGGCCCCCUGCUCCUCAAUCACAUCAAUGCAGUGUAACGGCAGUAAGCUUUAUUACAGUGUUGGCGUUGUGAUGGGAAGCAUACUCAAACUGCAGAAUCAUGUGUAUGCCCCCCCACCCCCACACACAAAA